rnacentral:rRNA from 1 species
GAUGAACGCUGGCGGCGUGCCUAAUACAUGCAAGUCGAGCGAAGCGGGGACGGGUGCGUAACACGUGGAUAACCUCCUAUAAGACUGGGAUAACUUAGGGAAACCGGAGCUAAACCGGAUACUUAUCGAUUAAUCUGCGCUGCAUUAGCUAGUUGGUAAGGUAACGGCUUACCAAGGCAACUAUGCAUAGCCGACCUGAGAGGUGGUUCGCCGAAACUGGAACUGUAACCCGGUCCGGACGCGUACGGGAGGCAGCAUUAGGGAAACUUCAGCAAUGGGCGAAAGCCGAACGGAGCAACGCCGCGUGAGUGAUGAAGGUCUUCGGAUCGUAAAACUCUGUAAUUAGGGAAGCGGUACCUAAUCAGAAAGCCACGGCUAACUACGUGCCAGCAGCCGCGGUAAUAC